CUAAACUUUUAUUAAUCACUCACACAUAUCGGCACAUCUUCCGGGGUGCUCGGCAAUCUUUCGCGAGGUUGUACGGGUCGGUAAGGUGGGAUAUGUGGACGCCUAAC
rnacentral:sRNA from 1 species